UUAGUAAUGUCUGGGAAACUGCCCGAUGGAGGGGGAUAACUACUGGAAACGGUAGCUAAUACCGCAUAACGUCGCAAGACCAAAGUGGGGGACCUUCGGGCCUCAUGCCAUCAGAUGUGCCCAGAUGGGAUUAGCUAGUAGGUGAGGUAAUGGCUCACCUAGGCGACGAUCCCUAGCUGGUCUGGGAGGAUGACCAGCCACACUGGAACUGAGACACGGUCCAGACUCCUACGGGAGGCAGCAGUGGGGAAUAUUGCACAAUGGGCGCAAGCCUGAUGCAGCCAUGCCGCGUGUAUGAAGAAGGCCUUCGGGUUGUAAAGUACUUUCAGCGAGGAGGAAGGCAUUAAGGUUAAUAACCUUGGUGAUUGACGUUACUCGCAGAAGAAGCACCGGCUAACUCCGUGCCAGCAGCCGCGGUAAUACGGAGGGUGCAAGCGUUAAUCGGAAUUACUGGGCGUAAAGCGCACGCAGGCGGUCUGUCAAAGUCGGAUGUGAAAUCCCCGGG
rnacentral:rRNA from 1 species